rnacentral:rRNA from 1 species
CCCUUAGAUGUCCUGGGCUGCACGCGCGCUACACUGGAAGUUACGGAUUGAGAUACUACCUUGUCCGAAAUGGUCCGGGUAAUCACCUAAAAGCUUGUCAUAAUUGGAAUGGAUUAUUGUAACUAGUAAUCCUGAACGAGGAAUUCCUAGUAAGUCCCAGUCAACGGCUGGUACUGAUUACGUCCCUGCCCUUUGUACACACCGCCCGUCGCUACUACUGAUUGGACGUUUAAGCAAGAUUUUUAAACACUGACAGUGUGUAGUUCACGCUAUACUACAGUGAGAAGAAGAAGAUCGAGCUUACUUGUCUAGAGGAAGUAAAAGUCGUAACA